GUAGGGUGGAGCCAGCUGGCAAGAAGCUCUGCAGCUCAUAAAACUGAGGCCUGAGAGCUAGCAAGGCAGACUGGGCCCUGCAGGCUAUAGAGAAAGGAGUUCCCUGUGUGGGGUGGCUGGCAACCAAAUGGUGCCAGAGAACUGAGAGAGGAAAACCUAAGGGGGACUUUCAGUUUGUGGAGAGGUAUUGACACAUGGUGGGAGGGGAUUUUUGUUUUACAGCAGUUGGGCUUGUGUUCAUUUUGAUUAGUUUUCCAAAGGACUGGAUUCUGGCUACAAGAAAGAAUUCACUUAUUGGCAUGGAGUAGAGAAAGUAGCUGAAUGCUGGUAAGAGCUUAUCCCAGGCUAUCUAUUUGUUUAAGUCCAACGGACUACCAGGUCUUCCAUGCAGCUACUCCAAGAUAGCUACAGACCCAUUCAUUCUGGAUCCCACCAUAAUUUACACUGGUGAAUAAAAUCAAAGUACUGAACACCAAUAUAAACAUAUUGUGUGUAGAAACCCUGAGGAGAAGGGAACCUCUUUUCAAGUGAUUACAUGGUGGCAUGGGAUAGAGGACAAAAUGGACAUACUUACACCUCUAGAUGGGAGGCAGUUGUAGCUUCAAAACGAGGGAAUACAAGUAGUCAUUUAAAUGCUCACAUACAGUUUUUUUUCUGAGAGACCUUACUGUCCAAUGGGGGCAAUUUCGAACAAUUUUUAAAAAAUGGCCAUCGAUUUAAAUAUAUGUAUAUAUGUAAGAGUAAAGAUUUUUUUUUUUUUUUUGGUAA